rnacentral:misc_RNA from 1 species
GAAGGGGGGAUAUUGUUUAAAAUACAAACAUUAUUAAUUGGGAAUUCUCUUCAACUUAUCCUCUCCCUCGGUUUUUCAUAGUUAAACAGGAUCCUGGUGUGGAGCUACAUGAGGUCCUGAGGCUAUUGUGAACUGCAGACCCCUAUGUUGGCCCGAUUGAAGCACAAAAGCAACUUGUGUUGCCGCCAAUGCUGCAGCCUCCUGUCUUUGCCUUCGACGUUGCAAGAU